AUAGCUAAACAUGAGAGUGGUGCAGUAUUCUAGUCAGUUCUCCGUUCUUGAAGGCGGGGCUAAAAAUCCGCCAAAGGGCACAUCGAUGAAGCUCCUUGUCUUGGCUUGAGGCGCCCAGCUUUGGGUCUUGACUGGGAGAUAAGGUAGUAGGGCGAUCCACAAAGGCAUGUGGGCGUUGACCCUCCUACCGUGGAGGCCGUUUGCUCGGUCCUUAUACGAAUAAGUGUACAAGGGCAAAUGGUAUGAACCUGCAACGGCAUGCUAGGGAGCUUGUCUGCAGCGUAGCCUGCCUUGAGUGGAGUUAGAGGGGAUUAUGGAAAUGAAGCGAAAAGCUGUCGGCCAACACCUUUUUGCUUUUACCCAUAUGAAAUCUACUCUGCAAAAGAGGAUAAGAGAACGGCAAGGAAUUGCUGAGGAAAACUCCUAGACUGUUCAUUAGACAUUUAAAGAGGAUUGCAGUGUAGACUAAGUGGUAAUCCAGUCUGACGCUUGGUGACAACGUCAAUAUCAGUAUAAAGGGAAACCGCCAUUCUGGCGACAGAGUGGUUCUGAUAUGGGAAAUCCUACUGGACCUAAGCUACAGAGUUUACUCUUUAAAUGACCACUCCAAAUUAAUACAUA
rnacentral:sRNA from 1 species